GACGAACGCUGGCGGCGCGCCUAACACAUGCAAGUCGUACGGAGCUGAGAGAAGCUUGCUUUUCUUAGCUUAGUGGCGAACGGGUGAGUAACGCGUGAGUAACCUGCCCUGGAGUGGGGGACAACAGUUGGAAACGACUGCUAAUACCGCAUAAGCCCACGAUCCGGCAUCGGAUUGAGGGAAAAGGAUUUAUUCGCUUCAGGAUGGACUCGCGUCCAAUUAGCUAGUUGGUGAGGUAACGGCCCACCAAGGCGACGAUUGGUAGCCGGACUGAGAGGUUGAACGGCCACAUUGGGACUGAGACACGGCCCAGACUCCUACGGGAGGCAGCAGUGGGGGAUAUUGCACAAUGGGGGAAACCCUGAUGCAGCGACGCCGCGUGGAGGAAGAAGGUUUUCGGAUUGUAAACUCCUGUCGUGAGGGACGAUAAUGACGGUACCUAACAAGAAAGCACCGGCUAACUACGUG
rnacentral:rRNA from 1 species